rnacentral:rRNA from 1 species
UACGUAGGGAGCAAGCGUUGUCCGGAAUCAUUGGGCGUAAAGCGCGCGUAGGUGGCCCUGUAAGUCCGUUGUGAAAGUCAAAGGCUCAACCUUUGAAAGCCGAUGGAUACUGCAGGGCUAGAGUACGGAAGAGGCGAGUGGAAUUCCUGGUGUAGCGGUGGAAUGCGCAGAUAUCAGGAGGAACACCAAUAGCGAAGGCAGCUCGCUGGGACGUUUACUGACACUGAGG